CCUACGGGAGGCAGCAGUAAGGAAUAUUGGUCAAUGGACGCAAGUCUGAACCAGCCAUGCCGCGUGAAGGAUUAAGGCCCUCUGGGUUGUAAACUUCUUUUAUAGGGGACGAAAAAAGGGCAUUCUUGCUCACUUGACGGUACCCUAGGAAUAAGCACCGGCUAACUCCGUGCCAGCAGCCGCGGUAAUACGGAGGGUGCAAGCGUUAUCCGGAUUUACUGGGUUUAAAGGGUGCGUAGGUGGGUUGGUAAGUCAGUGGUGAAAUCUUCGAGCUUAACUCGGAAACUGCCAUUGAUACUAUCAAUCUUGAAUCAUCUAGAGGUAAGCGGAAUAUGUCAUGUAGCGGUGAAAUGCUUAGAUAUGACAUAGAACACCAAUUGCGAAGGCAGCUUACUAUGGAUGUAUUGACACUGAGGCACGAAAGCGUGGGGAUCAAACAGGAUUAGAUACCCUGGUAGUCCACGCCCUAAACGAUGGAUACUCGACAUUUGUGAUAUACUAUAAGUGUCUGAGCGAAAGCAUUAAGUAUCCCACCUGGGAAGUACGACCGCAAGGUUGAAACGUCAAAGGAAUUGACGG
rnacentral:rRNA from 1 species